CCUUUUAAAGUUUUUAUAAAUAGAAAGGAAGUGGGGGUUGGAGAUCUCGAAUGUGGUGAUGUUGGAGAGACCAAUGGAUUGUGAAGAUGUUGCAUAUGAGCAUGGAGUAAAUGAAGUGGCUAUGAAAUAAAUUCCAUUCUCAUUAAUGUUUAGAGUGAAAUCCAUGUGGUAUGGUGAAAAUGAUAAGGUGAGUGUGAUAAAAAAAGGAAAAGAAAAAGGAUACACAGACGACUUGGUUCGAAACUAGCACAGCUACCGUUCCCCGGCAACGGCGCCAGAAAGCUUGUUGGGUAUUUUAAACGCAAACAGAAAAAUCCGCAAGCGCACGGAUACCGAUGUAGCCUUCACCUAGGAGUAUUCCAGAGUAUCGACUUUCCACAGGGAACGUGAGUGUACUAAUUAAGAUUCAAGAUCGCCCA
rnacentral:lncRNA from 1 species